UAUAGACCCUACGUCAUCGGACAAUUCAAGCCCAACUGACGACGUUGAGCACAGUCUUGUCUCUCCUGUGAGUGGAGACAGUGGCGUAGAGUCGGGCGAAAACGGCCAAAAAAGUGAAGCAAAAGAAAACAAUAGCAAUACAUGAUAUAGAUCUGAGUGCUCUGCAUUUUAACAAAUCUGUAUGAAUUUUUUUCCCUGUGAAUAUGCUGAUUAUGUAGUGAAAUCCACGAUCUACAGUGGUUUGCAACUCGCAUGAUAGUGAGCAUGUAGGUUACUCUAUCCUUUCUCUAGUUGUGAUGAUUGAAGGAAUUGUGCGAUGAAUAAGGAGGAGAUGAUAUUGACAGGUUCAGAGUAUAUAUCACCGUGCAUAAUUCACCGUUUAAUUAUAACUUUUAAAAUUCGACAUAUGUUUUUAAUAUUUUCUCACAGUCUAUUUCUUACAAAGUUACUUAUUUAAUUAGUGAUUAACACUUUUCGGACUCUAUAUGUGAUUUCAAAGAGACAGAGUGCCAUGUCUCAAGGACUUUUAAUCUCUUAAAACAACAUUGUGCAGUUUUUCAUGUCUUGGACAUCAAAGACUCAUUGAGUUUAUUUAAUUAUUUUAUAUCUGCGAACCUUUCACUCAGCUUACUUAUGUCAUCACCUGUCAAUUUAUACUCAUUGUUCAGACUCUUAUAAAUAAUUAUGUACAAUUGUCAAUCGGCAGUCUGGAAUACGGCGGCCAGCCUCGGCCACGUCCGACUCACCCAGAGUCUCGAGUCCGGAGGCCACUACUGGCCAUAUCCGACUUGUUUGUAAAGUGUCUGUCUGUUAAAAUGUUGCCAUCAUUGAAUCUCGUCCAAUAAAUACGGAAUCCUUC
rnacentral:misc_RNA from 1 species